rnacentral:rRNA from 1 species
GACGAACGCUGGCGGCGUGCCUAACACAUGCAAGUCGAACGAGAACGGGUUAUAGCUUGCUAUAAUUGUCAGCUAAGUGGCGCACGGGUGAGUAAUGUAUAGGUAAUAUGCCUCUUACUAAGGGAUAACAAAUGGAAACGUUUGCUAAUACCUUAUACUCCUUAUUAACAUAAGUUAAUAAGGGAAAGAUUUAUUGGUAAGAGAUUAGCCUGUAUUGUAUCAGUUAGUUGGUGGGGUAAUGGCUUACCAAGACUAUGACACAUAACUGGUUUGAGAGGAUGAUCAGUCACACUGGAACUGAGACACGGUCCAGACUCCUACGGGAGGCAGCAGUGGGGAAUAUUGCACAAUGGACGAAAGUCUGAUGCAGCAACGCCGCGUGGAGGAUGACACAUUUCGGUGCGUAAACUCCUUUUAUAUGAGAAGAUAAUGACGGUAUUAUAUGAAUAAGCACCGGCUAACUCCGUGCCAGCCGCCGCCGUAA